rnacentral:snRNA from 1 species
AGCUUUUACGAUGCUGAGCUUAU